rnacentral:rRNA from 1 species
UACAGAGGGUGCAAGCGUUAAUCGGAAUUACUGGACGUAAAGCGUGCGUAGUCGGUUAUUUAAGUCGGAUGUGAAAUCCCCGGGCUCAACCUGGGAAUUGCAUUCGAUACUGGAUAGCUAGAGUUCGGCAGAGGGAAGUGGAAUUUCGGGUGUAGCGGUGAAAUGCGUAGAUAUCCGAAGGAACAUCAGUGGCGAAAGCGACUUCCUGGACCAGAACUGACGAUCAGGCACGAAAGCGUGGGGAGCAAACAGG